CCUCUCGAGUCUAUUGAUCUCUGGGGGCAGCGGUUCAUCGAUCUCUUACUGGCCCUGUUAGUCUCUCUCGCGGCGGUGGUCAGGUCCGUUCAUUUUCUUGGUUUUCUAUGCGUUCGAAGGGGGAGUAGGUCGAUGAACGUCAGCAUCCGGACUUCCGCAUCGACCCGUCUCCCGAUCCCCCUUCGCCGUCCAUUUGUUGCGACCUCUUCUUUAACUCUAUUCUUUACACCAGAGACUGGGAGAAAAAAGAUCUAAGGUGAUGGCUAUUUUUGAGUCGGCAAUAAUAGUGCCAUGAACAUAAAGAUCGGUACGGAGUGAUGGAAGGCUCGAGCUUGAUGAUUGAUGAAUGAGGAAAGUAAUUCUGUUUGGAUGCCUGUAGUUCGUCAAAUAGACAUCUUUAACUAUAUGAUGAAUUAAAAUAUCAUUUUUAGCUAGGAAGCUGGAUCUGUUUUGUAAGUCGUCAAGAACGGGCAAGCGGCAGAUAUUGUGAGACGGAUUUAACAUGGCUUCGGGAGGAAUAAGUGGGGAAAACGAAGUAGAGCUGAUCAUACUAAUGGACAGAAGGGCGUGGUUUCCUAUGAGGGUGAUUGAGAUGUCUUCCGUGAUUUGAAGGUUUGACUUAGCUACAUGAUUAUGUUUCUCGUUACUUCUCCCAAAUUCUGGGUGACAAGACUCAAGACACUGGAAAAUUUUCUCCAGUAUUGGUAGCUCACGACUCUUAGAUAACGAAAUCCCUACUGAUGAUGUUGCUGGUAAAAAUUCCACGAGAAUUCUUAUUGUGCUGAUUUGGGUGUCAACUUCACCUGUCUUGGAAGAUCUCUUGUUGCUCUUCAUGAUUUGUGAAAUCUCAUACUGCAUCAUUAGAAGUCGUGUAUGCAGAAAAUUCCUGUCAUCAGAAAUUGUUGACUUUGUGAAUUGGGUUUAUUGCAGUGUUGACUCUGUGCCAGCUUCUGAAUUUUUUGGGCAAGACAGGAGAUAUCCUUGAUACACACUAGAUGACUGUAAUGUGCAUGGUCAGAGAGAGCACACAACAUUCUGGAGGUUAAUUACAUCUAUGACUGAGAGCAAAUAAUGCUCUGAAGUUUAGCCAGCCAUUGGUUAAGUCAUGAUUAUUUCAUGUAAGAUUCAACUUGACCCCAUAUGCAGCUGAAAUGGUCUCAUGCAUUGAUGCCAGACAGCCAGAAUGAAAAGCUGGUUUUUUAUUAUCAUAUUUGAUAGUUUUCUUUCUAUCUUUUCUGAAUGUAAGAAAUGUAGUAGGAUGCCAAGCAUAGCUAACUAUAUUAUUUACUCUCAACACCAGUUCAACUUUGUAUUCUUUGAGUGUUGACUAUGUAUUAGUUGGAUAACUGGUACACUGCAUUAGUUGUUUAACACUUGAGGGCAAUUUAUUAUUGGUUUGCAAGUAAAACA